AACGAACGCUGGCGGCAUGCCUAACACAUGCAAGUCGAACGAGACCUUCGGGUCUAGUGGCGCACGGGUGCGUAACACGUGGGAAUUUGCCGCGGGGUAUGGAAUAACUCAGGGAAACUUGAGCUAAUACCAUAUAAUGUCUUCGGACCAAAGAUUUAUCGCCCUGAGAUAAGCCCGCGUAGGAUUAGCUAGUUGGUGGGGUAAAGGCUCACCAAGGCGACGAUCCUUAGCUGGUCUGAGAGGAUGAUCAGCCACACUGGGACUGAGACACGGCCCAGACUCCUACGGGAGGCAGCAGUGGGGAAUAUUGGACAAAUGGGCGAAAGCCUGAUCCAGCAAUGCCGCGUGAGUGAUGAAGGCCUCGGUUGUAAG
rnacentral:rRNA from 1 species